UACGUAGGGUGCAAGCGUUGUCCGGAAUUAUUGGGCGUAAAGAGCUCGUAGGCGGUUCGUCGCGUCGGCUGUGAAAACCUGAGGCUCAACCUCAGGCCUGCAGUCGAUACGGGCGGACUUGAGUACUGCAGGGGAGACUGGAAUUCCUGGUGUAGCGGUGAAAUGCGCAGAUAUCAGGAGGAACACCGGUGGCGAAGGCGGUUCUCUGGGCCUGUACUGACGCUGAGGAGCGAAAGCGUGGGGAGCGAACAGG
rnacentral:rRNA from 1 species